rnacentral:rRNA from 1 species
CCUACGGGAGGCUGCAGUGGGGAAUAUUGCGCAAUGGGCGAAAGCCUGACGCAGCGACGCCGCGUGAGGGAUGAAGGUCUUCGGAUCGUAAACCUCUGUCAGCAGGGAAGAACGGUCACUGUGCUAAUCAGCAGUGAAUUGACGGUACCCGCAAAGGAAGCACCGGCUAACUACGUGCCAGCAGCCGCGGUAAUACGGAGGGUGCGAGCGUUAAUCGGAAUUAAUGGGCGUAAAGCGGUCGUAGGCGGUAUGUGAAGUCAAGGGUGAAAUCCCCGGGCUCAACGUGGGAACUGCCUUUGAAACUGGGAAACUUGAGUGUGUGAGAGGAUAGUGGAAUUCCAGGUGUAGCGGUGAAAUCCGUAGAUAUCUGGAGGAACAUCAGUGGCGAAGGCGACUAUCUGGCACAUAACUGACGCUGAGGAGCGAAAGCGUGGGUAGCAAACAGGAUUAGAUACCCCUGUAGUC